UCACAAAGAGACUUGAGGACCACACUAU
rnacentral:piRNA from 1 species